GCAAGUCGAGCGAGAAAGUUUCUUCGGAAGCGAGUAAAGCGGCGGACGGGUGAGUAACGCGUAGGAAUCUACCAUCCAGUGGGGGAUAGCUCGGGGAAACCCGAAUUAAUACCGCAUAUACCCUAAGGGGGAAAGAGGGCCUAUCCUUGGAAGCUCUUGCCGUUUGAUGAGCCUGCGUGAGAUUAGUUUGUUGGUGAGGUAAUGGCUCACCAAGACUACGAUCUCUAGCUGGUCUGAGAGGACGAUCAGCCACACUGGGACUGAGACACGGCCCAGACUCCUACGGGAGGCAGCAGUGGGGAAUAUUGGACAAUGGGGGCAACCCUGAUCCAGGCAUGCCGCGUGUGUGAAGAAGGCCUUCGGGUUGUAAAGCACUUUAGGUAAGGAAGAAAAGUUAUUGGUUAAUACCCAAUGACCAUGACAUUACUUACAGAAUAAGGACCGGCUAACUCCGUGCCAGCAGCCGCGGUAAUACGGAGGGUCCAAGCGUUAAUCGGAAUUACUGGGCGUAAAGCGCGCGUAGGCGGUUUGACAAGUUGGGUGUGAAAUCCCCGGGCUUAACCUGGGAACUGCAUUCAAAACUUUUAAACUGGAGUACGGGAGAGGAGAGUAGAAUUCAUGGUGUAGCGGUGAAAUGCGUAGAUAUCAUGAGGAAUACCAAUGGCGAAGGCAACUCUCUGGACCGUAACUGACGCUGAGGUGCGAAAGCGUGGGUAGCAAACAGGAUUAGAUACCCUGGUAGUCCACGCCGUAAACGAUGACAACUAGCCGUUGGACUUUCGAGUUCAGUGGCGCAGCUAACGCAUUAAGUUGUCCGCCUGGGGAGUACGGCCGCAAGGCUAAAACUCAAAUGAAUUGGCGGGGGGCC
rnacentral:rRNA from 1 species